rnacentral:rRNA from 1 species
CUAAUACAUGCAAGUCGAGCGGACAGAUGGGAGCUUGCUCCCUGAUGUUAGCGGCGGACGGGUGAGUAACACGUGGGUAACCUGCCUGUAAGACUGGGAUAACUCCGGGAAACCGGGGCUAAUACCGGAUGGUUGUCUGAACCGCAUGGUUCAGACAUAAAAGGUGGCUUCGGCUACCACUUACAGAUGGACCCGCGGCGCAUUAGCUAGUUGGUGAGGUAACGGCUCACCAAGGCGACGAUGCGUAGCCGACCUGAGAGGGUGAUCGGCCACACUGGGACUGAGACACGGCCCAGACUCCUACGGGAGGCAGCAGUAGGGAAUCUUCCGCAAUGGACGAAAGUCUGACGGAGCAACGCCGCGUGAGUGAUGAAGGUUUUCGGAUCGUAAAGCUCUGUUGUUAGGGAAGAACAAGUGCCGUUCAAAUAGGGCGGCACCUUGACGGUACCUAACCAGAAAGCCACGGCUAACUACGUGCCAGCAGCCGCGGUAAUACGUAGGUGGCAAGCGUUGUCCGGAAUUAUUGGGCGUAAAGGGCUCGCAGGCGGUUUCUUAAGUCUGAUGUGAAAGCCCCCGGCUCAACCGGGGAGGGUCAUUGGAAACUGGGGAACUUGAGUGCAGAAGAGGAGAGUGGAAUUCCACGUGUAGCGGUGAAAUGCGUAGAGAUGUGGAGGAACACCAGUGGCGAAGGCGACUCUCUGGUCUGUAACUGACGCUGAGGAGCGAAAGCGUGGGGAGCGAACAGGAUUAGAUACCCUGGUAGUCCACGCCGUAAACGAUGAGUGCUAAGUGUUAGGGGGUUUCCGCCCCUUAGUGCUGCAGCUAACGCAUUAAGCACUCCGCCUGGGGAGUACGGUCGCAAGACUGAAACUCAAAGGAAUUGACGGGGGCCCGCACAAGCGGUGGAGCAUGUGGUUUAAUUCGAAGCACCGCGAAGAACCUUACCAGGUCUUGACAUCCUCUGACAAUCCUAGAGAUAGGACGUCCCCUUCGGGGGCAGAGUGACAGGUGGUGCAUGGUUGUCCUCAGCUCGUGUCGUGAGAUGUGGGGUUAAGUCCCGCAACGA